rnacentral:rRNA from 1 species
UCGGUUGUCGUAGUUGAACGAUCGGGCGACGGACGGCGAGACUCGUUCGCCGCUGCGCCUUUCGUUUUACGAGACGAUGUCGAACGCGUGCACUUUUCCCCUAGUAGGACGUCGCGAUCCGUUGGGUGUUUGUUUAAAAAUCGAAGUGGUGCCCGCGAGACAUUUCGGUCACGCGGACCUUCGGAAUUUCGACAAACUCGCUCGACGGUAUAUCGAAGGCGCGAGGCCGCUAAGAUCGUUUGCGUUUUCGCGCGAGCGAUCGAAUUAGCGUUCGGCCCGUAACAAGGACGUGCCGUAAUUGACGGAUGUCGGACCUGGUGCCGAUUUCGUCGCGGAGCGACUGUUGGUUACGGUGUUCUCGAACUGACCUCG